GAUGAACGCUGACAGAAUGCUUAACACAUGCAAGUCUUUGGCGAAGCUGUGCUUGCACAGCCUAGCCAAGGCGGACGGGUGAGUAACGCGUAAGGAACUUGCCCUGCAGUCAGGGAUAACAGACGGAAACGACUGAUAAGACCUGGUAAAGUCAGGCGGACUCAUGUCCAGCCUGAUGAAAAGAGAUGCUGCAGGAGAGCCUUGCGUCUUAUUAGCUUGUUGGUGGGGUAACGGCCCACCAAGGCGAUGAUAGGUAGCCGGCCUGAGAGGGUGGACGGCCACAAGGGGACUGAGAUACGGCCCUUACUCCUACGGGAGGCAGCAGUGGGGAAUAUUGGACAAUGGGGGCAACCCUGAUCCAGCAAUUCUGUGUGCACGAUGAAGGUUUUCGGAUUGUAAAGUGCUUUCAGCAGGGAAGAAAAAAUGACGGUACCUGCAGAAGAAGCGACGGCUAAAUACGUG
rnacentral:rRNA from 1 species